GACGAACGCUGGCGGCGUGCUUAACACAUGCAAGUCGAACGCUGAAGCCCUUUCGGGGGUGGAUGAGUGGCGAACGGGUGAGUAACACGUGGGUAAUCUGCCCUGCACUCUGGGAUAAGCCUUGGAAACGGGGUCCAAUACCGGAUAGGACACAUCGCCGCAUGGUGUGUGUGUGGAAAGUUCCGGCGGUGCAGGUUGAGCCCGCGGCCUAUCAGCUUGUUGGUGGGGUGAUGGCCUACCAAGGCGACGACGGGUAGCCGGCCUGGGAGGGUGACCGGCCGCACUGGGACUGAGAGACGGCCCAGACUCCUACGGGAGGCAGCAGGGGGGAAUCUUGCGCAAUGGGCGAAAGCCUGACGCAGCAGCGCCGCGUGGGGGAUGACGGCCUUCGGGUUGUAAACCUCUUUCGACCGGGACGAAGGGUGACUGACGGUACCGGUAGAAGAAGCACCGGCUAACUACGUGCCAGCCGCCGCCGUAA
rnacentral:rRNA from 1 species